rnacentral:rRNA from 1 species
CACACGUCAUACAAUGGCGUGACAAGGGUUGCCAACCCGCGAGGGGGAGCCAAUCCCAUAAAGCCAGUCGUAGUCCGGAUCGCAGUCUGCAACUCGACUGCGUGAAGUCGGAAUCGCUAGUAAUCGUGGAUCAGCAUGUCACGGUGAAUACGUUCCCGGGCCUU